rnacentral:sRNA from 1 species
AUCCACCACUCGUCCACUCCGUUUCUGAGCGCACCGUCUGCGCUCACCUGACGACUGCUCGCCACGUGUUGCUAGCC